rnacentral:miRNA from 2 species
UAAUCUCAUUUGGUAACUGUGA